AACCCAAGCCACCGCCCUCCUCGCAUCCCUCUAGUUUGUGCCUCGACUAGGGUGAGUGCCGCCAUUGCCGACCUCUGUGGUUGUCACUUGGUCCGCCGCCAUCGUAGAUGCUUGUCUGCACUGGCGCUUGGCGACCGUGGGUGGCGAUGUGAGCUCGCGGGUGUGUGUGGGUCGCUUGCCUACCCUCCUCCGACGAAUUUGUGCACCAGAGCCCUCCCAAUUCCUCGUCGAUGUACGAGUGCUGCCGCAGAUCCGCAUUGCGCCAUGGGCAGCGCGGUCGAGGCCAUAAUCCUCGGCAGCAUGGACAGACCCCACAAGUAAUAAAUUUGGAAGCCUGCACUCUGCAACUAUGAAAAGGAACAAACAAAAAGGAUGUGGGGUUCACCACAUUUCAUCUCCUAGACGAGACCAAGGGCCUAUCAUCACAUCCCUUCCUUUCCAAUGGCGUCAUUGGUGUCAAAAGCCUUGGUUGGUCAGCGGUUAUGACCUCCACGAUGUCGACUAUCUGUUCAAUAACCUCUUUGUCAUGUACUAACCAAUCUAUCAUUGGUGAGUGGUGCCUGGUGUACCUGACUGAUUGUAAAGAACAAAAGAAAAUCAUAAGGUAUUCCU